CUUUGAUGAACCCAUUUUAAUGUGAAGUAACCACUGAAUGGAAAGUCUGUACAGAAGCAAAAGGUCUGCGGUGAAUGCAGGACAGACUGAGGCAGUGUCUGGAAGAGAAGGCCAGCAAGGAGAUCCAGUGUCCUGGUUUUUAAUCCCAUUUCUUGAUGUUGCUCAUGUGGAGUUUGCACAUUUACAAUAAGAAACAUAGAACCAAGGAGUUUUGUCUUACCCAAGAAAACCUUCUUGACUGUGAGAGGUCGAUCACCCUGGCUCGACUGCUUGCCCCCUUCCAGACUGAAGCCCAGCCCAGAUGACCUCUUGGCGAUUUCCACAGUGACCAGCUCUUCUGAUGGCUCUUCUACGCAGAAGGAAGGAAAGAGAUAAAAAGAGAAGGUUCAGUAAACCAAAAGAUAUGUUUUCAAUAAUAGCCACCUUAAUGGGGAUAAAUUGGGGAAAAAAGGACAGUGUGAUAAAUGUUAGGAAACAUUUCUUCACACAGAGGACAGUCCUGACAUGGAACAAGGCUCCAGUAAUGUAGUUAAUGUAGCUGAAAGUAGCACUUGAGAGUAUUUUAUGUCUUAUAGCCUGAUCUCAUCAAAACUGUGUUUGUGUAAAGAGAAUUUCAGGCCUCAAAUCAUAGAAUAUUGGGAAAAUUAGAUGAAUGCUAUUGAGGAAUAAUUUACUGCACAGUUGUAAAAAAUCCAAUUCAAGAUCCUGGGGGUUGUAGCCUAUCCUGGCAGUGCUGUGUGUAACGAAGGAACCAGCCCUGAACAUGACCAUUGUGAGAUCCACUCAAUCACACCCACACAAAACUUACUUGGAAUUGUCAUCUAACCUUACAUACACAUAUCUGUGAUAAUUCAAGGGAAAAAAUGCAAACAUUAAAACAAUUUUGACAAGAAUGGAUCAUUUAUUCCAACAAACAAAUCAUUCCUAUUUACUUUAUUUUCCUGAAAUAACAAUGUGAAGAAUAUGCGCAAAUUUCACCACAAAUAAUCAGAAGGUGCCAGAUUUAAAUCAUAGCGUCAAUCACUGUGCUGCUCAAUAAGUCUAAAUAAUGUCCUCUUAUCCUCAACUGCCAUUUGAUGCACAUAACCUGAUGAAAUAAACACAGUGGCCACACUAAUCUUAUAAGGAUGUUGUGAAAACAUUGCAAAUCAAUUUGCUACCUGAAAAGCAACAAGAGAUCAGAAAUAAGUGAAGCAGCAAGUUAUGUGAGAUAGCACAAGGAUAAUCGUGGUGGCAACAGCUACAGUAAAUAUAAAGGUGAAUACCAGUAAGCCAAAUAUUUGUUUGGCAUACAUGAGACAGGAAUGUGACACAUGCAAAUCUCUUCUCAUAAGUCAGUGACUCUGAAAGGGAUGUAUUUGUGGGUUCUUGUUUAGCAGGUACUGUGACAACAACAACUGGGCAAAUCUCCAGAGUGCCUAAAGAAACUGUUUUGAAAAAGAAGAAAGAAUAACCGCUAUCAUCUAAUAGCAGACAGUGGAACUCCAAAACUGUACUACAAACGCUUGUUUGUGAAACACAAACACAAAAGUGAACAGGCAUAGAGCUGACAAUAAGACCUGUUUUUUGGUACAUGCAAAACAAGCCAAGAAACAACAUUACCCAUCCAUGUUCAUGCUGCCUCAGUAACACUGGAAAUUCAAUGUCCCACAGUUUUCAAUUUGGACAGUCAUAGGACUGGAGACGAUUGUUGCUAUAAAAACGCCAUUCCUAAUGUGAUAAUGCAGUGUGCAAAGAGCAGAGAAGACCUUCUUCAUCACAGAAAAACAAACAGAUGAGAAGCUUAAACAGUGGCUCUGACUAUAAGGUUUCUGUUAAUUCCACUGGGAAGAUGUGUUUGUGCUUAACCACUUCUUUCAAAAGCUGAGUUGAUGGUACUCAGUGCACCACCAUUUCAAGAGAUUACCCAUAUGCCACAGUUUCAUCUUGCAUGGUGCAGUAUUUUCUAAGACAAUAGUGCUUCACAAUUAUCCAUCCUUCCUUGCCCUCACAAUUAUCAGAACUUAUAGCCCUUCGAUAUUGCAGAAGUGGCAUUAUAAGAAAUGCCAUAAUGAGUAGGAGUCAUUCCUAGAUGCUAGAGUCUACAAUACAUUACCUUUUAAGAUAUGCUGGAUGAAUACCUCCAUCCAACCUAAUGGCAAUUUAUUGAUAUUUGGCUAUUUCCUUCCAAUAUUUAACUUCACAUUUAACUUUGCAACUAUGAAUUUAACACUGUUACUGCCUGUUAUCUUUGUAUGUUUGCUACUACCUCUGUACCUUAUUGCUUUCUGAUUUAUCAUUCUCUUUGUUUUUAUUCUAUUAAUGUUGUUUAAUUUCAAUGAAAGGUGACCUUGAGUGUUAAGAAAGGCGCCUAUUAAAUAAAAUGUAUUAUUAUUAUUA